rfam:Danio rerio chromosome 4, GRCz11 reference primary assembly.
GGGGAAUUAGCUCAAAUGGUAAAGCGCUCGCUUUGGAUGCGAGAGCUAGCGGGAAAAUGCCUGCAUUCUCCA